ensembl:lncRNA
CUUUACAUUGCCAACAAGCAUCGGAGGAGAGGGGAUCUAAAGGAAGUCCUGUGUUUGUGUGACAGAGAGAGAGAAAUAGAGGGAGCGAGAGAGAGAGAAAUAGAGGGAGAGAGAAUUAGAGAGAGAGAGAGUGAGAGAGAGAGAGAGAGAAAAUAGAGGGAGAGAAAUAGAGAGAGUGAGAAAGAGAGAGAGAGAGAGAAAAUAGAAAGAGAGAAUUAGAGAGAGAGAGAGAGAGAGAGAGAGAGAGAGAGAGAGGGGGGGGGCUUAGAGAGAGGUUAGAGACAGAGAGAGAGAGAGAGAGAGAGAGAGAGAGAGAGAGAGAGAGAGAGAGAGAGAGAGGGAGUUGAGAGAGAGAGGUUAGAGAGAGAGAGAGAGAGAGAGAGAGAGGGAGAGAGAGAGGGAGAGAGAGAGGGAGUUGAGAGAGAGAGGUUAGAGACAGAGAGAGAGAGAGGGAGAGAGAGAGGGAAUUGAGAGAGAGAGGUUAGAGACAGAGAGUGAGGGGAAGGAAACACUACAUAAAGAGACAGAAGAGAGCCCUUCCUGGAACUCUCCAGUCCUCUCUGACUGCCGUCGCUCGCUGAGGGAGAAAGACAGCAGUGUUUUAAAGAGGAACAGAGUACCUGGUUGUCAUUCUGCUGAGGGCUGAGACAAACAGAGGAGAAGAAGACAUGUCUGGUCAUUUACUAAGGAGAAACUCCAGCAAGGAAGGUCUGCAGAACCUGCUCAGGUACGAGAAGUGGAGUUUUGAUACUCCUUCUGCCAGGUGUUGGUGUGUGUUGGUCCUUCUGCCAGGUGUUGGUGUGUGUUGGUCCUUCUGCCAGGUGUUGGUGUGUGUUAGUUGGUGUUUCUGCCAGGUCUUGGUGUGUGUUGGUCCUUCUGCCAGGUGUUGGUGUGUGUUAGUUGGUCCUUCUGCCAGGUGUUGGUGUGUGUUAGUUGGUGUUUCUGCCAGGUGUUGGUGUGUGUUAGUUGGUGUUUCUGCCAGAUGUGGUGUGUGUUAGUUGGUGUUUCUGCCAGGUCUUGGUGUGUGUUGGUCCUUCUGCCAGGUGUUGGUGUGUGUUAGUUGGUGUUUCUGCCAGGUGUUGUGUGUGUUAGUUGGUGUUUCUGCCAGGUGUUGGUGUGUGUGUUAGUUGGUGUUUCUGCCAGGUGUUGGUGUGUGUUAGUUGGUGUUUCUGCCAGGUGUUGGUGUGUGU